rnacentral:tRNA from 1 species
GGGGAUGUAGCUCUGUGGUAGAGCAUAUGCCUAGUGUGCACGAGACCCUGGGUUCCAUCCCCAGCACCACA